CGAAAUUGUAGUUUAAUUAAAAUAUUAGCAUUGGAAGCUAAAGAAUAGGUUCUAUUCCUACAUUUCGA
rnacentral:tRNA from 1 species